rnacentral:rRNA from 1 species
GACGAACGCUGGCGGCGUGCUUAACACAUGCAAGUCGAACGGAAAGGCCCUGCUUUUGUGGGGUGCUCGAGUGGCGAACGGGUGAGUAACACGUGAGUAACCUGCCCUUGACUUUGGGAUAACUUCAGGAAACUGGGGCUAAUACCGGAUAGGAGCUCCUGCUGCAUGGUGGGGGUUGGAAAGUUUCGGCGGUUGGGGAUGGACUCGCGGCUUAUCAGCUUGUUGGUGGGGUAGUGGCUUACCAAGGCUUUGACGGGUAGCCGGCCUGAGAGGGUGACCGGCCACAUUGGGACUGAGAGACGGCCCAGACUGCUACGGGAGGCAGCAGGGGGGAAUAUUGCACAAUGGGCGGAAGCCUGAUGCAGCAACGCCGCGUGCGGGAUGACGGCCUUCGGGUUAUAAACCGCUUUCGCCUGUGACGAAGCGUGAGUGACGGUAAUGGGUAAAGAAGCACCGGCUAACUACGUG